CCUACGGGGGGCAGCAGUAGGGAAUCUUCCGCAAUGGACGAAAGUCUGACGGAGCAACGCCGCGUGAGUGAUGAAGGCUUUCGGGUCGUAAAACUCUGUUGUUAGGGAAGAACAAGUGCUAGUUGAAUAAGCUGGCACCUUGACGGUACCUAACCAGAAAGCCACGGCUAACUACGUGCCAGCAGCCGCGGUAAUACGUAGGUGGCAAGCGUUAUCCGGAAUUAUUGGGCGUAAAGCGCGCGCAGGUGGUUUCUUAAGUCUGAUGUGAAAGCCCACGGCUCAACCGUGGAGGGUCAUUGGAAACUGGGAGACUUGAGUGCAGAAGAGGAAAGUGGAAUUCCAUGUGUAGCGGUGAAAUGC
rnacentral:rRNA from 1 species